rnacentral:rRNA from 1 species
GACGUAGGGGGCCAGCGUUGUUCGGAAUUACUGGGUGUAAAGGGCUCGUAGGUGGCCAACUAAGUCAGACGUGAAAUCCCUCGGCUUAACCGGGGAACUGCGUCUGAUACUGGAUGGCUUGAGAUUGGGAGAGGGAUGCGGAAUUCCAGGUGUAGCGGUGAAAUGCGUAGAUAUCGGGAGGAACACCUGAGGCGAAGGCGGGCUACUGGGCCGAUACUGACGCUGAUGCGCGAAAGCCAGGGGAGCGAACGGG